rnacentral:lncRNA from 1 species
UUUUUCUUUCAAAUAAGGGUUGGCAUGGCAGGAGAAGAGAGAGAAAAGAGAAGCAGCUCCAUCAGUUAAGACACUCCUCAGGACAUCAUAACUAAUUUAUGACUUGCCAAAACUUCAACCAGCUUGCUCCUUAUCCGAGAUCACGAAGAACUUCUGCAGUUCAGCAUCCAGGAGUCUAAACACAAACAAGGCAGGCAAAAAGUCUGACGGACCUUUAAAUAAAACCUUUGCCAUUUUCAUGCCUCCAAAAAAGGGCAGGGGGGAGGUUUUGAAGAAUUAAUGAGAUAACAGCAGCUAGCACUGAUGUGAUCCAACUACUUUAAAGCUAUUAUUUGAGCCCUCCAAACAGUCCUGCAUGGAAGAUGACAGGGCAGAACGCAUCUGGUUUACUUAUUAAGAGACCAAGAUUAAGAGAUGAAAUAACUUGUGACGAGAUCACAGAGAAAGUCACUAAUCCAGAUACAAGCCUUUCAUCUUUCAGUCAAAAGCUGAGGCUCAUAGGUUAGGCCUAUGCAUUUAAUACACUUAUGGCCAUCAGGCCACGGGGACUCCACAAGAAGAAUUGAUCCAGCCAUCGCUGGGCUCUUCUCCAGGAGCUUUGCUCAUGGCCAAGGACAGGCCAGAGCUGGGAAGAAUCGAUUUGUCAGCCUGUAACUCACUCCACCCUCUCCCAGAGGUCCUUCAGACACGGGCAUUUGCAUUUAGUCACACACAGGGUGAACACACACACAUGCCAGGUCUCACAGGGCAGCUGUGAGUUGGCUGUGUGAAAAGUGUGUCAGUCAGUGGCCAGGAGAAGACUCCACCACGGUCCUCAGACACAGCAGAGCACUUCCGUACCAUUGCUGAGGCCUGAAGAACAUGGCCUGAAGCCAUGACAUAGUGAUGCUCAGUGGCCAUUUACUCCCGCUGAGGCACACAACCUUGUGGAGGAACCAAAUUUCAGCUUGACUUAGUAGCGUGAAUCAAAAUAGCUUGAGGAGAAUCUCUAACAGAACAGAUGUUUUGUUGCUCCAUUUAAAUGGAAAUUAAUAAAGGAAAGUUUUAUUUAUUCCAAAACAAACUGCAUCAACCUUCCUUUCCAGACAUAAGGCAAAUUUGGUGAUCUAGAAAGGGAAGAAAAAGAGGAUGAGAAGAUAACCACAAAAUCAACUCUUCACCCACUCAUGGCUUCAACUGUUAGUAAAUUAAUUAAAAAUUAAAAAAAAAAAAAAAAA